CCCUGCCCGCAAAAAACCUGUUUAACUAGAUUUUUAUAAACCGCAUAUAUGGCCAAAAUUAUUCAUGCAAUUGGUUUUUAAAUAAGUCUUCAUUGAUUGGUCAUUAAGACACAUGAUGUCACAACACGUGUACACGAUAUGCAUGGACAUUUAUACUAGACCAGGUAUAUAUACUAAGUCGCUGGCGACUUUAACAUUUAUAACCAACACCUUGGCAAAGAAAGUAAAGUAAAGAAAGUUCAUUUCUCCUGUAUUCUUCGUCAAUAUACAACUAUGCUGUCACACAAGUGGUUGUCAGUUCUGGCAUUAUUUACCUGCGUCACAUUAUCUUUGGAGGAAAAUCCUAAAGACUGUCUUAAAGGGAAGCAAUAUUGGAGUACAAGUUUUAUCAAUCCCAGUGGCGCCUGCGUGGCCUGUCCACCGAAUUAUAGGAACUGUCGCAACGAGCCGUAUGAAGACCAGAAGCGAUGCGAAGACUCUUGCCGUGUUGUAGAUAUUACAAAGAAGGCCUCUUCUUCAAGUACAAAACUUCCUUUGCCACCAACAUCUAGCUAUCCUAAAGCCACCCCUUCUUCCACACGAUACGUUGGAUUUUAUUCGGUUGCGAAUAUAAUUGAACCGAACGAAGAUGAACCUCGCUCCAAUAAUGAUGGUGAUAGAAGCCGUCAUUGGCAAAUAUCGCUUCAGGCGGUCGUUGCAUCCAUUCUUUCUUCCUGUGCCGUUGUGUGCCUUGUUGUCCUGGUGUUGCUGGUUCGCGCGCGCCGGAAAAAAACAACAACAAAAGCAACGCCGAGCCGGUGGAAAUAGUGGAGAAGGUCUUCCUUUAAAUGAGAUACCAAAUAAUGCCGACGAGGGACAGUGUUUGCAACCAGAUAUUCCUCGUCAAGAGACUGAGCCUCCUGUUCAGUGCGCUACCACAUCCACCUCAGGGAUUGUCGGAAUCCAGGAGGAAGACAAUUUUCAGUCAUCUUUGAACAUCCAGACUGAAAAUGAGAAUUGAAAAGGCAAAGAAUUAGGAACACAAUUUUUAGUCAUCUGUGAACAUCCAGACUGAAAAUGAGCAUUAAAAAGGAAAAGGAGGAAAACAAUUUUCAGUCAUCUUUGAACAUCCAGACUGAAAAUGAGCAUCAAAAAGGCAAAAGGAAAAUACGAUUCGAUAUUAGUGUAUAUGGAAAAUUUUUAUUCACCGUAUACAUGCAUGUACCGAAUAACACGCUGGACUUUAUACCAUGUACAUAAAGAAAA